AAAAGACCCCAAUAUUUUUUGGUUUUAUAGAUUGAUAGUUAGCUCCUUAUUAUGAUUUUUCACAAAAUAUAGAACAACAAUUUUUGGGGAAUUUAUAGGAAUUUAGAGAUGAAUAAUGGUUUGACAGUAAGGCUGGGCUACUGUAUUUACUAUUGUUUUUGGAAGUAAAAUUCUGUCUUGGAUUUACAAUACUCAAAUCUUUUUUUUUUUGCUGUUAUUUCUGCAUUUAGGUAUGUAAACUCUACUUUACUUUAUGCCAUGCUGAUUCAAUGCAAUCAAAGGAUGAUGUCCUCUAUGUUAUAUUUGUUGUUUGAUUGCUGAAUACUAGCAUGAUUAGUUUCUGGUAAGGUUAUGCUAUCAUUGUUGAAAUUUAUAAGUAGCUUGAAGGAUGAAAAGAGUUGGUUUAAGAUUAACAAUACAAACUUGCAAGCAUGAGUUAAUUUGGUUUUGGUUGAAUGAUUGUUUGACCGUUGUCGCUUGACAUGAUAAACUAACAAAUCAAGUCUGUGAGAUAAUAUUGAAAAGAAGCUUUGCAUUUUGUUCUUUAAUUUUUCAUUGUGUGUUGAAACCAUGAAAAGUUACAAUUACACUAACUGUUUGUUCAUUUAUUUGCCUUGAUGUCGAGUCAGAUGUAGAUUUGUAAGGUAGCUUUAUAGUCAUCCUAGCAAAUACAAGGAUUGUAUUGAAUCACAAAUUUUCUGGGUCGAAGUACGUUGCUUUAGUGAAACAAUAGGAUGUCUUUCGAAACCUCUUGUUAAUAGUUAUUUAGACCUCAAGAUUACUGAAGGAUUACAGUUGCAUAAAUUUAUUUUCAAUUAUCUGUUUUGCAUAGAUUGAUAUAAUUAUAUUUGGAUAAUGUUGGGAAUUUUUUUAAUUUUCAAAAUUUAUGCAGUUGCUAUUAAGCAUACUCAGAAGGCCGAAGGGUUUCAAUAACAAAUUGUGCCCAAAUGAGGCCUAGAUGGUGGCCUGGUUAGGAUCACCUUUGGAGUGGUCUCCUCUGUCUCGCAUGUUGGUGUAAAUUUAAAGGCCCAAAUCUUAUCAGAGUUUGUGGUCUUUUGUUACUUUUAAAAGAUUACGAUCAAAUAGCCUAUUGGGCCUCCUACAAGCAUAGCUCACCCUAAAAUGAUU
rnacentral:lncRNA from 1 species